AUGUCACCGUCGGGAUCUGCAUCCUCCAUCGUCGCGGACACAACGGAAGGGUACCACUUUCUCACGAUCCGCGACUACUCCCGUACCAAGGGCGUCCCCACCGGAGAGCGGAUCGGUUCUCUUCCCUUCACAGUUGGUGGCCACUGCUGGCGCAUCUACUACUUCCCCAACGGUGUACGCUCGGAGGUCGCGGAUUACGUGUCCUUCUCCCUCGAGCUAGAUGAAGAUGUCCCGGCUACGGUGAAGGCCCAGGUUAAAAUUUGUUUCGCCGGCGAGGAGGAGGAGGCCGAGCAGGCGGCGUCGCUGGCGUUGGCAUCGGUGGACGAAUUCACCUCGCAGAAGUGCAGGCAGUACGAGAAAUUCAUCAAAAGGGAGAUCCUGGAGAACUCGAGGCAUCUAAAGAACGACUCUUUCAGCAUCCGGUGCGACAUCGCUGUCAUACACGGUUACCGUGGGGUGGAUGGCACGACCCCCUUUAUCUGCGUGCUCCCAUGGGACGUGCGCCAGAACCUUGGAAAGUAUAUCGAGACCAACAAGCGCACCCACGAGGUGUUUGAGGUCGGUACUGAGAUCAUCGCCGUGCACUACUGCGUGCUUGUGGCAUGCUGGGCCUGCUCGCCGGUGUUGGAAGCCGAGCUCUAUGGAGCCAUGAAAGAGGACAACGCUGCCGCUGCCGGCGUGGUGCACGUAGAAGGCAUGGAGGUGGAGGUGUUCAAGGCGCUGCUCGAUUUCGCGUACACGGGCGGUCUGCCGCAGACGUCCAAGGAAGACGACGAGGUCAUGUGUCAGCGUCUUCUAGUCGCGGCAGACAGGUAUGGCAUCGUGCAGCUGAAGCUAUUGUGCGAGGAGUGGAUGUGCAAGUACAUAGAUGUGGGCACUGCUGCGACCAUCCUGGCGCUAGCUGAGCAAAACCACUCGAGAAUGCGGCAGAUCUCGUCGAUGCUGCAGGGCCUGGCCCGUUCCAUGUCUCUGGAAAAGGAGAUGAAGGUGGAGGAGGAGCACCAGGGGACGGUGCUGCGAUCGUCGGGGACGCUCUGGGAUGAGGGCUCCGAGACGUUCACCGCCGCAUGCUCCCGCCACGGCGAGAAGGGCACCAACCAGGACACCUCCAUCGUCUGUGAGGGAUAUGGGUGCCAGGACGACACCAUCUUCUGCGUCGUCUUCGACGGGCACGGCCAGUGGGGCCACUACGUCGCCAAGGCCGUCCGGGAGUCGCUGCCGCAGUUGCUUCUGUGCCGCUGGCAGGAGGCCGUCACGCAGGCGUCGCUCAUCGACGGCGAGAAGAGGCUUAGCGACUGCCAAUUCGACCUCCUGAGGCAGUCCUACCUGGCCGCCGCCGCCGCCGUGGACGAGGAGCUCCGCCGGAGCCGGUGCCUCGACGCCGUCAACAGCGGCUGCACGGCUCUGUCCAUCAUGAAGCUGGGCGACCUGAUGGUGGUCGCGAACGUCGGCGACUCGCGGGCCGUCAUUGCGACCAUGUCGGACGACGGGGACGUCACGGCCGUCCAGCUCACCGUCGACUUCAAGCCCAACUUACCCCAGGAGAAGGCGCGCAUCAUGCAGUGCGAGGGCCGCGUGCACUGCCACGACGACGAGCCCGGCAUGCACUGGGUGUGGGUGCCCCACCGGGAGGCGCCGGAGCUGGCCAUGUCGCACGCGUUCGGCGACUACUACGUCAAGGACUACGGCGUCAUCUCGGCGCCGGAGGUGACGCAGAGGAGGAUCACCGCCCGGGACCAGUUCGUCGUCAUGCCUGGCCACCGACGGGGGGUCACCUACAUGGUGAAAGAUGCUCAGGCACACAUCAUUGUUGGGUUUUCCCAUGUCAUGUCAUACUUGGUGGAGGAGCAGAAGAAGCUAGACGUGCUCUCCGAUGAGGUGUUGGUCAAUGCCCUUGUCAGCAGCGGCCGCAUCUGUGUUCUUGUGUCCGAGGAGGACGAGGAGGCUUCAUUCAUGGACCGAAAGCACCGUGGGAAGUGUGUAGAAAACUUACACUACAUAUGCUCUGCUCAUCAGAGCUAUUCCACAAUUUUGUCCCCACUUAUACCUUUUUACACUUUAUAUGUGUAG
rnacentral:rRNA from 1 species